rnacentral:rRNA from 1 species
GACGAACGCUGGCGGCGUGCUUAACACAUGCAAGUCGAACGGAAAGGCUCCAGCUUGCUGGGGUGCUCGAGUGGCGAACGGGUGAGUAACACGUGGGUGAUCUGCCCUGCACUUCGGGAUAAGCCUGGGAAACUGGGGCUAAUACCGGAUAGGAGCGCACUCUGGAUGGUGGGGUGGAGAGGGUUUUGUGGGGUGGGAUGAGCUCGCGGCCUAUCAGUUUGUUGGGGGGGGAAUGGCCUACCAAGACGGCGACGGGUAGGCGGGCUGGGGGGGUGGACGGGCAAAUUGGGGAUGAGAUACGGCCCAGACUCCUAAGGGGGGGAGCAGUGGGGGAUAUUGCAAAAUGGGGGAAAACCUGAUGCAGCGACGCCGGGUGGGGGAUGAAGGCCUUCGGGUUGUAAACUCCUUUCGCUCGGGACGAAGCUUUUUGUGACGGUACCUGGAGAAGAAGCACCGGCUAACUACGUG